rnacentral:tRNA from 1 species
GCAUCCAUGGCUGAAUGGUGAAAGCGCCCACGAACCUAGAAAGGCCAAAUGGGUCAAAAAGUAGGUUCGAUUCCUGCCGGAUGCA